UACAGAGGGUGCGAGCGUUAAUCGGAAUUACUGGGCGUAAAGCGCGCGUAGGCGGCUUUGCAAGUCGGGUGUGAAAUCCCCAGGCCUAACCUGGGAACUGCAUUCGAGACUGCAUGGCUAGAGUAUCGGAGAGGGAAGUGGAAUUUCAGGUGUAGCGGUGGAAUGCGUAGAGAUCCGGAAGAACACCGGUGGCGAAGGCGGUUAGCUGGGCAGUUGCUGACACUGAGGCGCGACAGCGUGGGGAGCAAACAGG
rnacentral:rRNA from 1 species